CGUAGGUAAUCUACCCCAAGGUCUGGAAUAACCUGCCGAAAGGCGGGCUAAUACUGGAUAGAGCGACGGAAUCCGUAAUGGGUUUUUCGGGAAAGGGAGCCUGUAAGGGCCCUCGCAUUGGGAUGAGCCUGCGUCUCAUUAGCUAGUUGGUGGGGUAACGGCUCACCAAGGCAUUGAUGGGUAGCUGGUCUGAGAGGAUGAUCAGCCACACUGGAACUGAAACACGGUCCAG
rnacentral:rRNA from 1 species